AAAUAAACAUUUCUGGAAAAGUCUUUGACGAUGCCAUAAACAAGCUCAGCCAACUGGCUGGAGCCAGUGCAGCAGAGCUUGUGAUAAACUGCACAGCAACAGGCAUUCAGCUGCAGUGUCACAUGAAGUAUUACACCUUAGAGAUGAACAUCACCUGGUAUAAUGGGUAAGGAAUUAGAUUAAACACAGAAUUAACACUGCCUCACAAAUAUAAACAUAAUACCAAAUAGUUGGAGUACGAAGAUGAAGAUAAGGAAUGGAGGAAGAAAAUACGCAUAACUCCAGUAUUUGUAGUCCUGGUAGUUGUUUUACUAGAGUAUUCUUUUAAGUCCACCUAUAAACAUGCUGACCACAAACGCAUUAUUCUGGUUUUCCCUCAAGUUAAACUGCCGCGAGUGGGAAAAACAAUAAGCCGCAUAAUAAAACUUCUGAUGGGCUAUUGGCAAGUGGUUUCAUUAUCCCUGUUAUUGCAGUAAAAUUGCCCUGUUUUGUGACAGAAAUCACACAGCUAUUAUUUUCUAUAAAGAAGGAAGGCUUUUCUGCACUUAAAAGCACUCCAGUUCACUCCAGAAAUUAUAAAAUGUUAAAAAAUGGGUUCAUAAAAUAAAAACAAGUGGACAGAACAAUGAAGUAAAACUGAAUAAAAAUUAUGAAGAUUUUAUUUUAAAAUAUCUCACUGUCUUUUCUGUGGGUUCGUGUAAGAGCAAGAGGUCGGCAUGACAUUAGCGAGGCAUGUAAACAUGAUUUUCAUUUACCUGACUCGCUCAAAAAUAACCCCCCACCACACAAACACACACACUAACCUCUCUUUUCUUCUCCUCAGUGAGACUAAACUCUCCCACAGUGACAAGAUUGUGAUUGGUGGAACCCCGACUAUGGCAACAAUGGAGGUAGUUGAACCAGUGGAGAAGGACAAGGGCAAGUACUCCAUUGUGAUCACUGACCCUGAAAACUCACAUAAACGCACACUGGACCUCAGCGGUGAUGGUCAGUACUUUCAGUACUUUUCCACUCUUAUUUCCUUCCCUCCUGAGUCAAUUCCUGUUUUUAUCGAGAACUCUGUAAAAAGAGGGUAG
rnacentral:lncRNA from 1 species